rnacentral:rRNA from 1 species
UACGGAGGGUGCAAGCGUUAUCCGGAUUCACUGGGUUUAAAGGGUGCGUAGGCGGGUUGGUAAGUCCGUGGUGAAAUCUCCGAGCUUAACUCGGAAACUGCCGUGGAUACUAUCAAUCUUGAAUAUCGUGGAGGUAAGCGGAAUAUGUCAUGUAGCGGUGAAAUGCUUAGAUAUGACAUAGAACACCAAUUGCGUAGGCAGCUUACUACACGGUCAUUGACGCUGAGGCACGAAAGCGUGGGGAGCAAACAGG